rnacentral:lncRNA from 1 species
GUUCCCAGCUUUUGAAAACCAAGAGGCAAAAACCUGUUCUUCAAGAAAAAAAAAAUCUUAUCAGUCUUCAUCAUACCUUAGCUUCUGAAAUACAUGAAACCAGAGCCUCUCUUGGCUUGGCCAGAUGCCUCGUCUUGUCUGAGAGGCGGACGGUAGCGUUAUCACUCAGGGUAAAAGAGCUUAUGGUAUUCGGCAGUGACAACCCCCAGUCCUCAAUGGCUUAACGCAAGUCCACUGGGAGUCCAGGUGCAUCUCCAGGACAGUGGCCCUUUACAUAAUGACUGCAGGAUCCAGGCAGAAGAUGUUAC